GAUGAACGCUGGCGGCGUGCCUAAUACAUGCAAGUCGAGCGAACAGACGAGGAGCUUGCUCCUCUGACGUUAGCGGCGGACGGGUGAGUAACACGUGGAUAACCUACCUAUAAGACUGGGAUAACUUCGGGAAACCGUAGCUAAUACCGGAUAAUAUUUUGAACCGCAUGGUUCAAAAGUGAAAGACGGUCUUGCUGUCACUUAUAGAUGGAACCGCGCUGCAUUAGCUAGUUGGUAAGGUAACGGCUUACCAAGGCAACGAUGCAUAGCCGACCUGAGAGGGUGAUCGGCCACACUGGAACUGAGACACGGUCCAGACUCCUACGGGAGGCAGCAGUAGGGAAUCUUCCGCAAUGGGCGAAAGCCUGACGGAGCAACGCCGCGUGAGUGAUGAAGGUCUUCGGAUCGUAAAACUCUGUUAUUAGGGAAGAACAUAUGUGUAAGUAACUGUGCACAUCUUGACGGUACCUAAUCAGAAAGCCACGGCUAACUACGUG
rnacentral:rRNA from 1 species